rnacentral:lncRNA from 1 species
GCGCGCCGGCCAGCUAGCCCCUUUGUGCGGCGGGGGCGGCGGAGUGCUCCCUCCAAGACCGGUUGCACCCCGCUUUCCUGGCCAGGACUCUGGCGCGCUAAGGAGGCGCGGUUGGAGGCAUCUGUCCACCCAUGUGGUUCCAGACACGUUCAUGUGGCCACCAAGACCCCGUCGGCAUCACAGGAGUAACCAAGAGAGCAGCAAGUUCCUGGGACAGAGGAGAGAGAAGGGAAUUUCCAGGUUCUUCAGGACGUUCACAACCACACUGAGAAGCAUCUUUGCAGAUAAGUAUUUAAACUUACCAGCCCAUAGCCUACCAGCCUGCCCUCUUCUGGUCUGUGCAGGAAAGUGUAGUAUCCUAGAAUACCAAAGUGGGAGGGGAAACGGGUGAUGUAGCUCAUUCUCUUUUCUACCUCUAUGGAAGAAAGAAAGAGCCUGUCCCCAUUUUGUGGGGUCCCAGAAAGGGUGAUUUUUCACACUCCACAUUUGGCAUUAGGGCUAGUAUUUUAUAAACGUCACUGUAUGGAACUUUUGAAGGCUGAGUUAAAUGACUUCAUCUUGUGUACUUGUAGAACUGCUAUUAGAAGGAGGCUGGGGACUCCCUGAUGAUGUGAACCAGCCCUUCUCUUCUCAGUUUUAGCAUUUUGUGAUCAUAUUUAUAAACCUCGGCUAGGGCUCCUUGGCCUUACAGUUAGGUGAAGAGUUAACACUGUGACUUUAGAUGCAUUUUGCUUAGUGCAAGUGUCUGAGUUCAUCUCCAGUUCUGGACUCGAGCCCCGACUCCCAGGUGCUGACAGCAAGCUCUGAAGAUAUGCUGAGAGGGCUCCCUGACUCUCCUGACUCAGGUCUGCCAGUUGAUG